rnacentral:rRNA from 1 species
UACGUAGGGAGCAAGCGUUGUCCGGAUUUACUGGGUGUAAAGGGUGCGUAGGCGGCCCUGCAAGUCAGGCGUGAAAGGCGGAGGCUUAACCUCCGAGCUGCGUUUGAAACUGUGGGGCUUGAGUGGAGCAGAGGCAGGCGGAAUUCCCGGUGUAGCGGUGAAAUGCGUAGAGAUCGGGAGGAACACCAGUGGCGAAGGCGGCCUGCUGGGCUUUAACUGACGCUGAGGCACGAAAGCAUGGGUAGCAAACAGGAUUAGAUACC